rnacentral:misc_RNA from 1 species
GCAAACUUGGUCAUUUAGAGGAAGUAAAAGUCGUAACAAGGUUUCCGUAGGUGAACCUGCAGAAGGAUCAUUACAGAGUUUGUUGGCCGUCGACUGUCGCCGGCGCUGCCGUGCACGUCGUCAUGGCCUUCCCUCUAAUUCCACAUCACACUUGUGCACAUGGAUUGAGGUGGGGCUUUUCCCAUCUCUUCUCACAUUAUCCGUCUUGUUUAAUGCAUGUUUGUAAUUUGGAUUUAAUACAACUUUCAACAACAGAUCUCUUGGCUUUCGCAUCGAUGAAGAACGCAGC